AGCUCCAAGAAUACGCGGAGGAGGUGGCCCGGGUCGGCGUCGGCGCCGUCUGGUGCGGGCCACGGGCCCGCUUCCAAGUGCGUCUGCGCACCGGCCACCCACGCCAGGUCCUUCAAGUGCCGCUUCCACCGCACCAACUCCCAGAGCCACGGCCACGGCCACGGCCAGGGAAGCCGGCCUUCUUCGCCCCCUUCACCGGCCGCGGCACCCGACCUCGCCGUCCUCAUCCGUCGGCACCGUCGCGACCUAGUGACGCAGCCCAAGCAUCGGCCUCGAGAAUCAAGAACGCUCGACAACGGAGAGGAAAGGGAAGAUCAUAUACAUGCCAUAAGAAAGGGAGUUUAUUUACUGCUCCCUCGAUGUAUUGUUUCCUUUGUUUGGAGAUUGAUUACCAUCCGUGAGUUAAGGUAA
rnacentral:rRNA from 1 species